GGCGCCAUGGUGUAGUUGGUUAACACGCCGCCCUCUCAAGGCGGAGAGCGCGAGUUCGAGCCUCGCUGGCGCUA
rnacentral:tRNA from 1 species